rnacentral:rRNA from 1 species
UACGUAGGGUGCGAGCGUUGUCCGGAAUUAUUGGGCGUAAAGGGCGCGUAGGCGGCCUGGCAAGUGGAAGGUGAAAUCCCUCGGCUUAACCGAGGAACUGCCCUCCAAACUGCUUGGCUUGAGUCCGGGAGAGGUGAGUGGAAUUCCCAGUGUAGCGGUGAAAUGCGUAGAUAUUGGGAGGAACACCAGUGGCGAAGGCGGCUCACUGGACCGGAACUGACGCUGAGGCGCGAAAGCGUGGGGAGCAAACGGG